rnacentral:rRNA from 1 species
AGCAGCCGCGGUAAUUCCAGCUCCAAUAGCGUAUAUUAAAGUUGCUGCAGUUAAAAAGCUCGUAGUUGAAUUUCGGGACCAUCAUGUCGGUCGUGCCUCGGUACGUACUGGCAUUGUUGGUUUCUCCCUUCUGACGAACCAUGAUGUCAUUUAUUUGGUGUUGUGGGGAAUCAGGACUGUUACUUUGAAAAAAUUAGAGUGUUUAAAGCAGGCUCACGCUUGAAUACAUUAGCAUGGAAUAAUGAAAUAGGACGUUUGAUUCUAUUUUGUUGGUUUCUAGGAUCGACGUAAUGAUUAAUAGGGAUAGUUGGG